UUGACUGUGCCCUGAACGAAACAGCCGGCCCUGCUCCCGGUACCCGGGCCGUGGGUGCCCGACGGCUGUCCCUCCCCAGGCUGCGUGGGGCACCAGCUCCGCGUCUGCUCGCCCAGGGGCGGCCUGGCAGUGGCCUGCCGGGGGCGACGCGCGGCGGGCCACGGUCCUCCCCUCGGCUCGGCCCUGCCCGGCCCCGCGCCGCGCCGAAAGCCCUUCAGCCCCGGCCUAGCCGGAGCUGCCUUGCGGCAGGCGCAGCCGAGUGGGCGGGGGUGGUAGGUGUAUGCAGCAGCAGAGCCCAUCGGUUGAUAGCGUUAAUUACCAUCGCACGGUGCCCGAGUUCGCUAGGCUCCAUGCAGCGCGGAAUAAAGUGACAUAUUCCCUGCCCCAGGGAGUGCACAAUCUCCAGUGGAUCUGACAGCACGGGGGUGUGACAGAACACCACGGGGCUGCAGCAAGAGAGUCGUGCUGCUGAGGACUCCAUUCACUUCAGGACUGCAUAUGAGAGAAGACAACAGCUCCUAAGGCCUCUGGAGUGACAGUGUGGAUGUGACCCCAUAGGGGUAUGACAGAACACUGCAAGGCUGCAGCCUUGGAGUUGCAGGAUACAGUCCCUGGAAAAUGGUAAAAAUGCCAUCAUCAGCCUGUAUGGCAAUCUAAACACACAGAAUUACUUUUAAACUAAACACUCCUUUUGGAACAGACACUGGUGUUUGUACGUAAGCAAAACCAUUGCUGCAAUUUAAAUACUAAACAGUGAAAUUGUUGAGGGACAUGGCAGCUCUUGUCUCAUACAUUUUUUUGUGGGAUUGAAAAUGCAGGCAGAAGCAGAGUUAAGAAAGAAUGUUCCAUUUCUUCCGUCCAGACUGCUGUCUCUGGCAUUUGCUGUUGCUGAGGGCAAAAACAGCAUGGAUUUUGAAGGGGAUUAGACAGACUGGCUGGUUGGAAUGCCAGUCCUGGGCACUGGCCUAACAAUGGGUAUUUAAGGGAAAUAAAAACCUCUCGAGUAAUGGGUCCCAACUGGUGAGACUAGACUUGUCCCACAGGUGAAAUGCAGGACUAGAGUCAAUGGCUGUGCUCCCUCCCGGCUUGCACAGUGCCCCUCACUGGAGGUGAAAGUGUCCAGGGCAGGGUCCAGGACUUCCUUCCUGCCUCCCCUCUGUAGUAGCUGAGCAUCUCACUCUCUGCUUUCUUUACCAGCUUUCCUCCCUGAACUUGACAUUUGAGUUCACCUCAGGCAUCUCACUUGCUGCUUUCUCUGUUGAUCAAGGAGAAAAAGGGACCCAAAAGAGGGAAAGUAGGCAAUAGCAGCAGGUUGCUUUGUUGCACCACUUGCUGCCUUUACUGUGAUGCCUGUUGUGACUUCUGUCUCAAGGUCACUCCAGCUCCCUCACAUCCCUUUCCCCACAGACCCCAGCAUUAUCCCAGUGUCUCCAGGUAUAAUUUCCUAUGUCUAACCUUGGUAGGUGAAGGCUAUGCAUUCAGGUUUGCUCUAGGAAUAUUGAGAAGCAGUACUCUAGUGUAAAGCUUGAUAAGGAGGUGGGUGCACAAGUUGAAAACCUGGGUUCCUUCUUCGUUCAGCUGCUUUUCAGGAGGUGUUAAGGACUGCAUAAAGCUUUUGUAUAUAAAGCUUACAGCGGGCAUAAUGCAUGUAGAUAUGUUUGAUUAGGUCUAGAUUUGUUGAGAAGGAUAUGCUUGACUAAUUGAAAGGUUAAGUCAUUGAGGCAACAUGUAAACAGAUGGGAUUUAAAGGCAACAGUCAAUGGAAAGAAGAAAAGACGGAAGGGUGAAAUAUGGGUAGAGGGCAGGAUUAUCAAGGUACAAGCCAAACACCAUUGUUCUUUCUAAGGAAGACAACUGUAGUCUCCAUCUGUUGGGAGAUCUCUUGAGCAUUUCUGCCAGAGGCUGCUUAGGUGAAUGCAAUAAAAACGUGAGCAGGUCUUUUGUUCAAUACUAGUAGCAGUCAGGUGAUUUGAGCCUUUGCAUCUUACCUCUGGGUAAGCUUUCUGUGUUAAAGAUCAUGCAGCACUGGAGAGAAUCUACCCUGGAAGUUCCAUUUCCUCUGGCAGAAAAGUUCAGCUUGAUCUUAGAAAGGAAAUUUUAAAGUAUGGAAACUGAGAGGAAAAAACGCACUCAUCAGAGGAUCUGUAGGGAGAGCAGAGUUCCCAGACCAUCAAAUCUCUUCCACUACAACUGGCAAACUCCGUUUUUCUUCUUUACUGGCACAUUUUAAGCAGGGGGAUUGCCUUCUGUUGCUUCUAAGAUAUCGAGGCAAAUCCAUUUGUACAGUAAGAUAGCUGGAUUAGUGGAUUUUUUUGGUACCGAAUCUGAUCUCCUGGGAUAGCAUGGGCAAAGUUUGAGGAGACUGUGCAGGGGAGUUUUAUUGGAAUAUACCUUAGGUGUGAUGAAUGGUAAUGGCAUAUGUCAUUUACUAAGUUCAGAACAGAGUUCUGUGAUUCGUGACAUAAUGUCGUACCAUCCUGCAGCAGUGGGGUUUUCAGCCAGCUGAUGUGAAGAUUGAAGUUGGAAGAGAAUCAAUGCUUACAUUCUUUCUUACUCCCAAAGAUGAAAAUGAACUCGUACAGUGUAACUAUGGUGUUCUGCUAGCACGCAUUGCUAAAUGACUCAUGUAAAAUUCUCAAAGGAGUGACCAUAGUGGGGAGUCAGGAAAACAACAGGAAAAACUGUCCAUAGUUAUUGUAGACAUGAAUUAAAUACAAAAGAAAUAAAAUGGAUCACAAGAAGGACAAGCAUCAAAGACUGAAUGGUGAUGUUUUCCUGUCACAGCUAGGACAAAGAAAAUAUUGCUGUUCAAAAAAGUGGUUUUAAGUGUGUUUCAGAAGACAAAACAGUAGCAUGAAAAGCAAAUUCCUUCGCUGCUUAAAAGCAUUUUAGCAUAUAAAGGAAAAGAAUGAGCU